CGGGACACGUGGUAUCCUGUCUGAAUAUGGGGGGACCAUCCUCCAAGGCUAAAUACUCCUGACUGACCGAUAGUGAACCAGUACCGUGAGGGAAAGGCGAAAAGAACCCCGGCGAGGGGAGUGAAAAAGAACCUGAAACCGUGUACGUACAAGCAGUGGGAGCACAGAGCAAUCUGUGUGACUGCGUACCUUUUGUAUAAUGGGUCAGCGACUUAUAUUCUGUAGCAAGGUUAACCGAAUAGGGGAGCCGAAGGGAAACCGAGUCUUAACUGGGCGUUAAGUUGCAGGGUAUAGACCCGAAACCCGGUGAUCUAGCCAUGGGCAGGUUGAAGGUUGGGUAACACUAACUGGAGGACCGAACCGACUAAUGUUGAAAAAUUAGCGGAUGACUUGUGGCUGGGGGUGAAAGGCCAAUCAAACCGGGAGAUAGCUGGUUCUCCCCGAAAGCUAUUUAGGUAGCGCCUCGUGAAUUCAUCUCCGGGGGUAGAGCACUGUUUCGGCAAGGGGGUCAUCCCGACUUACCAACCCGAUGCAAACUGCGAAUACCGGAGAAUGUUAUCACGGGAGACACACGGCGGGUGCUAACGUCCGUCGUGAAGAGGGAAACAACCCAGACCGCCAGCUAAGGUCCCAAAGUCAUGGUUAAGUGGGAAACGAUGUGGGAAGGCCCAGACAGCCAGGAUGUUGGCUUAGAAGCAGCCAUCAUUUAAAGAAAGCGUAAUAGCUCACUGGUCGAGUCGGCCUGCGCGGAAGAUGUAACGGGGCUAAACCAUGCACCGAAGCUGCGGCAGCGACACUAUGUGUUGUUGGGUAGGGGAGCGUUCUGUAAGCCUGUGAAGGUGUGCUGUGAGGCAUGCUGGAGGUAUCAGAAGUGCGAAUGCUGACAUAAGUAACGAUAAAGCGGGUGAAAAGCCCGCUCGCCGGAAGACCAAGGGUUCCUGUCCAACGUUAAUCGGGGCAGGGUGAGUCGACCCCUAAGGCGAGGCCGAAAGGCGUAGUCGAUGGGAAACAGGUUAAUAUUCCUGUACUUGGUGUUACUGCGAAGGGGGGACGGAGAAGGCUAUGUUGGCCGGGCGACGGUUGUCCCGGUUUAAGCGUGUAGGCUGGUUUUCCAGGCAAAUCCGGAAAAUCAAGGCUGAGGCGUGAUGACGAGGCACUACGGUGCUGAAGCAACAAAUGCCCUGCUUCCAGGAAAAGCCUCUAAGCAUCAGGUAACAUCAAAUCGUACCCCAAACCGACACAGGUGGUCAGGUAGAGAAUACCAAGGCGCUUGAGAGAACUCGGGUGAAGGAACUAGGCAAAAUGGUGCCGUAACUUCGGGAGAAGGCACGCUGAUAUGUAGGUGAAGCGACUUGCUCGUGGAGCUGAAAUCAGUCGAAGAUACCAGCUGGCUGCAACUGUUUAUUAAAAACACAGCACUGUGCAAACACGAAAGUGGACGUAUACGGUGUGACGCCUGCCCGGUGCCGGAAGGUUAAUUGAUGGGGUCAGCGCAAGCGAAGCUCUUGAUCGAAGCCCCGGUAAACGGCGGCCGUAACUAUAACGGUCCUAAGGUAGCGAAAUUCCUUGUCGGGUAAGUUCCGACCUGCACGAAUGGCGUAAUGAUGGCCAGGCUGUCUCCACCCGAGACUCAGUGAAAUUGAACUCGCUGUGAAGAUGCAGUGUACCCGCGGCAAGACGGAAAGACCCCGUGAACCUUUACUAUAGCUUGACACUGAACAUUGAGCCUUGAUGUGUAGGAUAGGUGGGAGGCUUGGAAGUGUGGACGCCAGUCUGCAUGGAGCCGACCUUGAAAUACCACCCUUUAAUGUUUGAUGUUCUAACGUUGACCCGUAAUCCGGGUUGCGGACAGUGUCUGGUGGGUAGUUUGACUGGGGCGGUCUCCUCCUAAAGAGUAACGGAGGAGCACGAAGGUUGGCUAAUCCUGGUCGGACAUCAGGAGGUUAGUGCAAUGGCAUAAGCCAGCUUGACUGCGAGCGUGACGGCGCGAGCAGGUGCGAAAGCAGGUCAUAGUGAUCCGGUGGUUCUGAAUGGAAGGGCCAUCGCUCAACGGAUAAAAGGUACUCCGGGGAUAACAGGCUGAUACCGCCCAAGAGUUCAUAUCGACGGCGGUGUUUGGCACCUCGAUGUCGGCUCAUCACAUCCUGGGGCUGAAGUAGGUCCCAAGGGUAUGGCUGUUCGCCAUUUAAAGUGGUACGCGAGCUGGGUUUAGAACGUCGUGAGACAGUUCGGUCCCUAUCUGCCGUGGGCGCUGGAGAACUGAGGGGGGCUGCUCCUAGUACGAGAGGACCGGAGUGGACGCAUCACUGGUGUUCGGGUUGUCAUGCCAAUGGCACUGCCCGGUAGCUAAAUGCGGAAGAGAUAAGUGCUGAAAGCAUCUAAGCACGAAACUUGCCCCGAGAUGAGUUCUCCCUGACUCCUUGAGAGUCCUGAAGGAACGUUGAAGACGACGACGUUGAUAGGCCGGGUGUGUAAGCGCAGCGAUGCGUUGAGCUAACCGGUACUAAUGAACCGUGAGG
rnacentral:rRNA from 1 species